GAUGAACGCUGGCGGCGUGCUUAACACAUGCAAGUCGAACGGAAAGGCCCAAGCUUGCUUGGGUGCUCGAGUGGCGAACGGGUGAGUAACACGUGGGUGAUCUGCCCUGCACUUCGGGAUAAGCCUGGGAAACUGGGUCUAAUAACGGAUAGGAAGAUGGUUUGGAUGCCAUUGUGGAAAGUUUUUGCGGUGUGGGAUGUGCUCGCGGCCUAUCAGCUUGUUGGUGGGGUAAUGGCCAACCAAGGCGUCGGCGGGCAGCCGGCCGGAGAGGGUGUACGGCGACAUGGCGACUGAGAUACGGGACAGGGUCCUACGUGCUGCGGCAGUGAGGAGUAUUGAACAAUCCGCGAAAGGCUGAUGCCGGGUCGCGGCGUGGGGCGUGAAGGACUACGGGCUGUAAACUCCUUUCUCUUGGGAUGAAGCGUGAAUGUGACGGUACCUGGAGAAGAAGCACCGGCUAACUACGUG
rnacentral:rRNA from 1 species